rnacentral:rRNA from 1 species
AGAGUUUGAUCAUGGCUCAGAUUGAACGCUGGUGGCAUGCUUAACACAUGCAAGUCGAACGGUAACAGGUCUUCGGAUGCUGACGAGUGGCGGACGGGUGAGUAACGCGUAGGAAUCUGCCCAUCUGUGGGGGAUACCAGUUGGAAACGACUGUUAAUACCGCAUAAUAUCUGCGGAUUAAAGGUGGCCUUUGUGCUGCCGCAGAUGGAUGAGCCUGCGUUGGAUUAGCUAGUUGGUAGGGUAAGGGCCUACCAAGGCUACGAUCCAUAGCUGAUUUGAGAGGAUGAUCAGCCACAUUGGGACUGAGACACGGCCCAAACUCCUACGGGAGGCAGCAGUGGGGAAUAUUGGACAAUGGGGGAAACCCUGAUCCAGCAAUGCCAUGUGUGUGAAGAAGGCUCUAGGGUUGUAAAGCACUUUAGUUGGGGAGGAAAGCCUAUAAGUUAAUAGCUUGUAGGAAGGACGUUACCCAAAGAAUAAGGACCGGCUAACUCCGUGCCAGCAGCCGCGGUAAUACGGGGGGUCCGAGCGUUAAUCGGAAUUACUGGGCGUAAAGGGUCUGUAGGUGGUUUGUUAAGUCAGAUGUGAAAGCCCAGGGCUCAACCUUGGAACUGCAUUUGAUACUGGCAAACUAGAGUAUGGUAGAGGAAUGGGGAAUUUCUGGUGUAGCGGUGAAAUGCGUAGAGAUCAGAAGGAACACCAAUGGCGAAGGCAACAUUCUGGAUCAAUACUGACACUGAGGGACGAAAGCGUGGGGAUCAAACAGGAUUAGAUACCCUGGUAGUCCACGCUGUAAACGAUGAGUACUAGCUGUUGGAUUCGGUGUAAAGGAUCUAGUGGCGCAGCUAACGCGUUAAGUACUCCGCCUGGGGACUACGGCCGCAAGGCUAAAACUCAAAGGAAUUGACGGGGACCCGCACAAGCGGUGGAGCAUGUGGUUUAAUUCGAUGCAACGCGAAGAACCUUACCUGGUCUUGACAUCCUGCGAACUUUCUAGAGAUAGAUUGGUGCCUUCGGGAACGCAGUGACAGGUGCUGCACGGCUGUCGUCAGCUCGUGUUGUGAAAUGUUGGGUUAAGUCCCGCAACGAGCGCAACCCCUAUUGAUAGUUACCAUCAUUAAGUUGGGUACUCUAUUGAGACUGCCGCUGACAAGGCGGAGGAAGGUGGGGACGACGUCAAGUCAUCAUGGCCCUUACGACCAGGGCUACACACGUGCUACAAUGGGUAUUACAGAGGGCUGCGAAGGUGCGAGCUGGAGCGAAACUCAGAAAGGUACUCUUAGUCCGGAUUGCAGUCUGCAACUCGACUGCAUGAAGUCGGAAUCGCUAGUAAUCGCAGGUCAGAAUACUGCGGUGAAUACGUUCCCGGGUCUUGUACACACCGCCCGUCACACCAUGGGAGUGGGUUGCUCCAGAAGUAGAUAGUUUAACGAAUGGGCGUUUACCACGGAGUGAUUCAUGACUGGGGUGAAGUCGUAACAAGGUAACCGU